UCUUAGAGAUGAGCAAAGAAAAUGGUUUCUUGAGAUGGAAUUGAUUUCUGGUGAAGGUGCUGUGAA
rnacentral:pre_miRNA from 1 species